UGCUGUGACAGAAGAUGAUCAAAUAAUGCAUAUCUUGGCUGGACUCGGUGCAGAGUAUGAUUCAGUUAUGGUUACUAUUACAUCCAAACCAGAGGCCUGGACUCUUGGUGAUGUGAGUUCUUUACUUCUGAGCUUUGAAA